GGGAAACAGCCCAGACUAUGAGAUAAGGCCCCUAAAUAUUUUCUAAGUGAUAAAGGAUGUAUUGGUACGUAGACAAUCAGGAGGUUGGCUUAGAAGCAGCAAUUCCUUUGAAAAGUGCGGUGUGUGUUUGAAAAAGAUAAACGAUUUCUUCGUCAUAUUUGCAAUGAUUUAAUACAUUUAUAUAUUAAAUUUUGAAUGUAAUUCCUUACCCUAAAUAAUAAUAAUAAUGGCUAAAGUCAUGGGGAAUAUUAGUAGGUAGUUAAAUUUAUUUAUUUAUUAGAUAAAGAGCAAAGGAUGUAAUUAGGUAGUUUAGAUUGGAAUAUUAAAAUUAUCAGCACUAAACGAAGUUCAGUAAUUCUGUAACAUAAUUGUGUUGUUCAAGGCGAUUAUAGUAUUACAUUAUUAACUUUAUAUUCUACUAGUUUUAGAAUCUUAGAAAUCUAUAUUUUAUUAACGUAAUAUGGAUGAUAUUUUUCUAUGGUAAACUAAGUUGUAGAUUAUUAUAAUAGAACGAGAAAUUUUGUUAAAUUUUUACUAAAUCUUAAUAGUAUUAACUUCUAUUACAUCAGGUAAAUUAUGGUUACAAACAAAACUGAUUACACGUAAAAAAAAAUAGGGCUAAAUCUAAGUAAGUCUUGUUUUAUUAAAACGAGAUUGUUAAGUCAGAAGAAUCUUUAAGAAAUUAAAAAGUUAUAUGACGUAGUUGAAAACAGUAUAAUUUCUGAUUUCUUAAUUUACAAGCGGUCAUUCGUAUGUUUUUAGUUAAUAAUUAAUUAACCAAUAACAAGUGUUAAAAAAGUUGUAUACGCUAAUGAGGUGUAGGUACAAUUUGAGGACAGACACAAAUAGGUUGUCGAGUUCCAUUAAUAGCUUACUGAUCAAGUGCCUUUGCGCCGAAAAUGAACGGGACUAAGUAAAUUGCCGAUGCCGUAGAAUUUAAAUUAUUGGUAGGAGAGCGUUCUGUUUGGAGGAAGCAAUAAUGUGAAUCGUUGUUGACAAUGCAGAAGUGAGAAUGUCGGCUUAAGUAACGAAAAUAUUGGUGAGAAUCCAAUGCUCCGAAAACUCAAGGUUUCCUUCGCUAGGUUCGUCCACGAAGGGUUAGUCAGAGUCUAAGGCUUAGUUAGUCUACGAUGCCGAUGAUCAACGGGUUAAUAUUCCUGUACUGUAAAUUAUAUAUGUUGGUGUUAAGAGUGACGGAAAAGGUUACACUACCCAAAAUUGGUUUUUGGUUUAAUAUUCUGACAUGAUGACGGAUAUUAUAAAAAGUAUCUAGAGUGAAGGAAUAGAAUGCGAUAUAACACUAUGGUGUUAGAAGUAGUUAUAUCAUGCUUCCAAGAAAAACUUUUAUAACAUUUUAAAAUGAUUUAUAUCUGUACCUUAAACUGACACAGGUGAGUUGGUUUAAACUACCCAGGAGCGCGAGAUAACUCUUUCUAAGGAACUCGGCAAAAUAACUCUGUAACUUCGGGAGAAAGAGUGCCCUUAUUUUUGGUAGUAAGGGUUGCAGUGAAUUGAUCCAUGCGACUGUUUAACAAAAACACAGGUCUCUGUUAAGUCGAAAGACAAUAUAUGGGGGCUGAGGCCUGCCCAGUGCCGGAAGGUUAAUGAAGUUGGUUAGUAUUAUACGAGGCUGAUGACUUAAGCCCUGGUGAACGGCGGCAGUAACUAUAACUGUCCUAAGGUAGCGAAAUUCCUUGUCAGGUAAGUUCUGACCCGCACAAAAGGCGUCACGAUAUGGAUACUGUCUCAGAAAGAGACUCGGUGAAAUAGAAUUGACUGUGAAGAUGCGGUCUAUUUCCACUUGGACAGAAAGACCCUAUGAAGCUUUACUAUAGCUUGAGAUUGUUUGUGAUUUCUUUUUGCGCAGUAUAGGUGGGAGACAUUGAUUUACUUUUUUUGGGAAGUAAUGAGUCAAAAUUUGAGAUACCACUCUUUAAGAAGUUGGAAACUAAUGAUAUUUUUAAUAUAUUUGACAUUUUCAGGUGGGUAGUUUUACUGGGGCGGUAGCCUCCUGUAUGACGAAGAUACUGCUCUGCAAAGUUGGAAGUAAUUAAUUUAGUAAAGUUAAUUGCGACCUUUUAACCACUAGAUAGAAGUUUCUAUAAACUAAAAUUGAAUAGUUUUAACUUUUUAUGUAAAAAUGUAACGUUCUAGUUGGUUUAGUUAAGAAAAAACAUGUAUGUAUCUGGUUAAUAUGAUUGUAAUUAUUAUUUGCGUCCUGUAAGAAUAUUACAUAAUUAUAAUAAAAAGCAGGUGAAAAUAAUAGGAGGUUAUUUACUUCGCAAUAAGUAAAGAUGUAUAAAUGGAUCGAAGUACAUGUUUGAAUAAAGUAAAUCUUUAUAUUAAUUAAAGUUUUUGCAUAGCAUAACUCGUUAAUCGUUUUUUGGUUUUCUUUAAAAAUACGUUUAGAAGUCGGUCGGAAAAUAAUAGCUACUGAUUUGUGGUAUAUUAUUAAAGUACAAUUUAAAGUUUAUUUAUUUAAUAAUACAAUAAUAAUAUAUAUUGUUAGAUGUGUACUAAAAUCAAAAUCACUAUUAAGGUAGCAAUUAAACUGGAUUAUUAAUAAAUUAUUAUACUAAAGGAGUAUUAGUGUAUAUUUCUGUCGUAAGAUUUGUCAUAAUAAAAAUUGUGUUAAAGAGAGCUGUAUAAUUAGUAAAUUAGUAUGUACAGUUCGAAGGCAAGGAGUGUAAAUAAUUAGUUAUCAUAUCCUUAGCUAUUAAAUAGUAACGGAGGCGUACAAAGGUUUCUUCAGUCUGGUCGGAAAUCAGAUGUGGAGUGUAAAGGUAUAAGGAAGCUUGACUGUAAGACAAAUAAGUCGAGCAGAGAUGAAAGUCGGUCUUAGUGAUCCGACAGUGCUGAGUGGAAAGGCUGUCGCUAAACAGAUAAAAGUUACUCUAGGGAUAACAGGCUGAUCUCCCCCAAGAGUCCACAUCGACGGGGAGGUUUGGCACCUCGAUGUCGGCUCAUCGCAUCCUGGGGCAGUAGUAUGUCCCAAGGGUUGGGCUGUUCGCCCAUUAAAGCGGUACGUGAGCUGGGUUCAGAACGUCGAGAGACAGUUCGGUCCAUAUCCGGUGGAAAACGUUAGAGCAUUGAAAAUACUUUUCCUUAGUACGAGAGGACCAGGAAAAACACACCGCUAGUGUACCAGUUUUUGUACCAGCAGAAGACGCUGGGUAGCUAUGUGUGGAGUGGAUAACUGC
rnacentral:rRNA from 1 species